rnacentral:rRNA from 1 species
UACGUAGGGUGCGAGCGUGUCCGGAAUUAUUGGGCGUAAAGAGCUUGUAGGCGGUUUGUCGCGUCUGCUGUGAAAUUUCGGGGCUCAACCCCGAACUGCAGUGGGUACGGGCAGACUAGAGUGUGGUAGGGGAGACUGGAAUUCCUGGUGUAGCGGUGAAAUGCGCAGAUAUCAGGAGGAACACCGAUGGCGAAGGCAGGUCUCUGGGCCACUACUGACGCUGAGAAGCGAAAGCAUGGGGAGCGAACAGG